rnacentral:lncRNA from 1 species
UUCUUAUCAUUCGGCCGGCCCCCGGCACCGCCCGCCGUUCACUUCUUGCAUUUGUCUUUGCUCUCGGCGAUAGCCUCCCGUUCCUCUCGAACGUGGGCGCUACCGUGCUCCGCCCAUAAGGCUCUAUCAAAAACCUCCGCAAAGGUCGUCAGCUUCAAAAUCUGCAUCUUCUCAUAAAUCCUCGGCUGUAGUCCUCGCAAGAACCAAUCAGCCCGAUCCCAAUCAUCUCUAACAACAUCGGGAACGCAGUCGAUAAUGUGGGUCCUACUCAUACUCCCCCACCGAUCGAUCACCCUGUCUCAGCUUGCGGAACUUCUCUUGCAGUCUCCGCUUUACCGUAUCGGGGAAGUAGUUCGCGAACACCGCUC